rnacentral:rRNA from 1 species
CCAAUAGCGUAUAUUAAAGUUGUUGCAGUUAAAAAGCUCGUAGUUGAAUUUCGGGGUUCUUCCGUUGGUCGGGCUAUCCAGUCUGUACUAGCGUGUAGAAUUCCUACCUUCUGGGGAACCAUCAUGUUAUUAAUUUAGCGUGGUGGGAAACCAGGACCUUUACCUUGAAAAAAUUAGAGUGUUCAAAGCAGGCUUACGUCUGAAUACAUUAGCAUGGCAUAAUAGAAUAGGACGGUGGUCCUGUUUUGUUGGUUUCUGAAUCACCGUAAUGAUUAAUAGGGAUAGUUGGGGGCAUUAGUAUUCAAGUGUCAGAGGUGAAAUUCUUGGAUUUAUUGAAGACUAACUUCUGCGAAAGCAUUUGCCAAGGAUGUUUUCAUUAAUCAAGAACGAAAGUUAGGGGAUCGAAGACGAUCAGAUACCGUCGUAGUCUUAACCAUAAACUAUGCCGACUAGGGAUCGGACGAUGUUAAAUUUUAUUGACUCGUUCGGCGCCUUACG